UACGUAGGGUGCGAGCGUUAAUCGGAAUUACUGGGCGUAAAGCGUGCGUAGGCGGUUGCAUAAGUUUGAUGUGAAAGCCCCGGGCUUAACCUGGGAAUGGCAUUGAGGACUGUGUGGCUUGAGUGCGGCAGAGGGAGGUGGAAUUCCACGUGUAGCAGUGAAAUGCGUAGAGAUGUGGAGGAACACCGAUGGCGAAGGCAGCCCCCUGGGUCGACACUGACGCUCAUGCACGAAAGCGUGGGGAGCAAACAGG
rnacentral:rRNA from 1 species